CAAUCAGGUAGGAUUACCCGCUGAACUUAAGCAUAUCAAUAAGCGGAGGAAAAGAAACUAACAAGGAUUCCCCUAGUAACUGCGAGUGAAGCGGGAAAAGCUCAAAUUUAAAAUCUGGCGGUCUUUGGCCGUCCGAGUUGUAGUCUGGAGAAGUGCUUUCCGCGCUGGACCGUGUACAAGUCUCUUGGAACAGAGCGUCAUAGAGGGUGAGAAUCCCGUCUUUGACACGGACUACCAGUGCUUUGUGAUGUGCUCUCAAAGAGUCGAGUUGUUUGGGAAUGCAGCUCAAAAUGGGUGGUAAAUUCCAUCUAAAGCUAAAUAUUGGCGAGNAGACCGAUAGCGAACAAGUACCGUGAGGGAAAGAUGAAAAGCACUUUGGAAAGAGAGUUAAACAGUACGUGAAAUUGCUGAAAGGGAAACGCUUGAAGUCAGUCGCGUUGGCCAGGACUCAGCCUUGCUUUUGCUUGGUGCAUUUUCUGGUUGACGGGCCAGCAUCGAUUUUGANCGCUGGAAAAAGGUUAGGGGAAUGUGGCACCUUCGGGUGUGUUAUAGCCCUUAGUCGCAUACAGUGGUUGGGAUCGAGGACCGCAGCACGCCUUUAUGGCCGGGGUUCGCCCACGUUCGUGCUUAGGAUGCUGGCGUAAUGGCUUUAAACGACCCGUCUUGAAACACGGACCAAGGAGUCUAACAUGCCUGCGAGUGUUUGGGUGGAAAACCCGAGCGCGUAAUGAAAGUGAAAGUUGAGAUCCCUGUCGUGGGGAGCAUCGACGCCCGGACCUGAACUUCGGUGAUGGAUCUGCGGUAGAGCAUGUAUGUUGGGACCCGAAAGAUGGUGAACUAUGCCUGAAUAGGGUGAAGCCAGAGGAAACUCUGGUGGAGGCUCGUAGCGAUUCUGACGUGCAAAUCGAUCGUCAA
rnacentral:rRNA from 1 species